AGGACGAACGCUGGCGGCGUGCGUAACACAUGCAAGUCGAACGAGUGUAGCAAUACACGAGUGGCGGACGGGUGAGGAACACGUGGCUACCAACCUGGCACUGGGGAAUACCCGUGAGAAAUCAUGGUUAAUACCGCAUACGCCCGCAAGGGGAAAGUCGCAAGACGGUGCGAGACGGGGCUGCGCCCGAUUAGCUAGUUGGUGGGGUAAUGGCCUACCAAGGCGUCGAUCGGUAACUGGU
rnacentral:rRNA from 1 species